GCGGUGGGGGCGUGGCCACUACUCAGGCAACAGCAACCUGUCAAUCAUAUACUGUGGCGGGAGCAGAAACGAGUGUCAGUGAGGACGCCUAUGAUUGCCUUACGUUUCCUAUUACUGUUUGACAUCGUGUGUGCGCUUGGACAAAACCACAGUAAACGCAUGAGGAUCUCACAAAAGCUCACAGAAGUUAAUUGACCGCAAUAUAUGGCUGUGUAAACUGACAAAAUCGUCUUUUACACUUAUUCAGUCUCUCCAGUCACCUAACCAAAGGGACACCUGCCGCCGACGACGCAGGCUACUCUCUUUUUUGUAAUCUCUACCGUCCAUCGAUUUUUUUUCUUUUGUGGAGGGUUUUGUCUCAGAAAGGAAUUAUUCAGUAACUUGUUUCAGCAAAUUCCAACAGACCUGCUCAGGAUGCCUUGGAUGAGCGUCUGUCUGCCAUGGAGUUGCAUUCGGGAAAGCGCGAAGCUCUGUGACUGAACAAACUAGUCGUACUGCGGCACGGCUUCGCGAAAUAAACGCUUUGCGGCUGUCUGUCCACUUGCUGAGUCGCAGAAAUGUUGUAAAAACCGCUAGUUUCGCGUGGGACUGGGGGACUGAGAGUCGAAGAAGGCGAAGAGACCACAGCAGGUGCACGUGAACGCAGGAAUAUUAGAAUGGCUCUCGCGGCGGUUUCUCUCUACCUCCUCGCGCUCGCCUGGACGAACUUGCGCCCGGUCCACGGGAACAACCGUCACGCCGUGUACUGGAACAGCUCAAACAUCCAAGCAAAUUAUCAUCUUGACAAAUGGCUUUCCUGGGAAACGGAGGCAUUGGGUGGAGUGAUCAAUGACCAGCCGAGCAGGAGGCUUCCUCAUGCAGCUCAUUACAGUCACACAUAUCUUAUUAAUGAAAAAAACCCCAGACAAAACUCACACAGAAAAACAAGGUCACAUGCAGAGUACGGUUGCUGACAACUAAAAAUGUCCACUCUGGUCAGCAAUGCAUAGGAGCACUUGUGUUAUUCUAACUAUGGCUUUGCUUAGUAACUUUCUUGAAUCAUCUGAAUGCUUUAAUAUUCGAGAUGUCAAUAUUUGUUGAAUGCUUUCCUUUUCAAUACCCUCAGACACGGGUCGAGAAUAGAUUCAUUAUACAGUAGUUCAGGGAAGAGUAAAAAAGUGAUUUUAGGGAUGUGCAUUUUGGUAAUUUUGACUGCUUGGUUUCCGAACAGAUACAUCAGCUGCAGUGGGAGGUUGGGCAAAAGAGCAAGUUCUGCCUGAGCUAUUUUUGUAUUGUUGGUCAAUGUAAAUUUGCGUCAAGUGCAGGCUUAGAUUCUUACACCAGGGGUGUUGCAUAUUAAAGACACAUUAUAAAGUUAAAAUGGUUCAGUUUUAAAAGCA
rnacentral:lncRNA from 1 species